UAUAGUAUUUAAAGUAGUCUUCAAGUAUAGUCGGCCAAUAAUAUCCAUUGUUUCUAAUGAUCCACUUCAUCUUGAAAGCCGAUUGAUGAGCUCCGCAAACCCCUUCAUGAAUUUUGCCCAUCAGAUUCUUGGCUUCUUCAGCCCCGAGGCAUUUAAGCAGGACCCCAUCAACCGUCUGAUAAUAAAGGUCAUCUUGAAGCAACACAUAUUUAAAAGCGUGAAAUCGAACUCGCCUAUUGACCUUCUUGGAGGGAUCUUUUAAGUAAUCCGCUAUUUCUUUCCUCC
rnacentral:lncRNA from 1 species